rnacentral:lncRNA from 1 species
AUGACACGUGGCGCCCAAUCAUGGCGCCACGUCACAAUUAACGGCAGAUUUAACAGUUUGACUAACGGAUGUAUGAGACUGUCUCAAAAUUUACACUUUAGGUAUGAAUCUGAAACGAAAAAAACUUGAUGUACUAAAUGUUGAAAUCCACAAAACAUGAGGGUAGUAAACAGUCUUUUACCUAUUUUAUAUUAUUCUAAUUACCCACCUGGCAUAAUUCAUAAUUGGAUCUCACUCUCUACUCUUUAUCAACUUGCGUUUGAUUGCCUAUAAUCUUUGUAUUAUCCAAAGGGAAUUAUUAUUAGCACUCUAUAAAUUUCAUUAUACACUCUUCACAAAUGCAUUUUUUUUCGUUUCUAAUUAUAGAAAAUUUAGAGUGCAAAAUGAGAUUUUUAGAGUGCUUAUAACAAUUCUCUAUUCGAAACUCCGAAACUAGUUAAGUAAAUGAUUCGUUGUGACCUUUCCAAUAUCAUCCACCAUUUUAAAAGAAGGGAUUUCCAAUUUUUUUUAAAUGCGUAUUAAUUGUAGGGCACAAACGGUAUCGAACUUCAAUGAUUCGAACUAUCUAUUUUUCAAGUUUCACUUCAUAGAUCAUUCUUGCAAAAUAUUAGCCAAGUCAAAAAUAUUUGAGAUAUUUAAUUGAGUUAAAAAAAAUCAACAAACACAAUGGUUUAAUAAAUAUUGAAAUUUCAUCAUAACAAUUGAAUGGGUAAAUAACUUUGGAUUGAAUUGAAUUUUUGCAAGAAUAAUCUAGAAAUCGUGAUUUACAAUAUAGACGAUUCAAAUUGUUGAAAUUCGAUCUGAAAUAUAUUCCAUAACUUAUUUUUUUUUCGUCCAAAAAUAGAUAUAUCCCUUCUCAUGGCAUGUUCACUUGAAUACGUAACUACAAUUUUUUCCCCUGGACCAGGUUGAUGCUUCGUAGAAAAUCAGACCUAGUUUGGGAGUGAGGUACUUAAAAAAAAAACACCCAUGAAAAAAAGCUGUGAGAGUUUUAGGUGUUUGGUAAACUGAAAAAAAAGGGCUUAUUUUGGAAGCUGCUAUGAGAAUAAGCUGAAAUCAAAGGAAAAAGCUGAAGCUGCUAUUUGCAGCUUUGGAAAACUGGUUUUUUUUCAAAGCACAUGGAGCUACAGUGCUUUUUUAAUGAAAAGACCCACUAUUAGACUGCUUUUUUUUUCCAAAAGCACUUUUACAAAAAAGUUUACCAAACACUCUGCUGAUUUAUUUCACAGCCGCUUAUUCUCACAGCACAGCCGCUUAUUCUCACAGCAGCUUUUUUUCAAAGCACAGCAAUACCAAACCAGCCCUCAG